UGGCUCAGAUGGUAAAGAAUCUGCCUGCAAUGCAGAAGACCCAGGUUCUAUCCCUGG
rnacentral:tRNA from 1 species